UACGGAGGGUGCAAGCGUUAUCCGGAUUCACUGGGUUUAAAGGGUGCGUAGGCGGGUAAGUAAGUCCGUGGUGAAAUCUCUGAGCUUAACUCAGAAACUGCCGUGGAUACUAUUUGUCUUGAAUAUUGUGGAGGUGAGCGGAAUAUGUCAUGUAGCGGUGAAAUGCUUAGAUAUGACAUAGAGCACCAAUUGCGAAGGCAGCUCACUACACAAUCAUUGACGCUGAGGCACGAAAGCGUGGGGAUCAAACAGG
rnacentral:rRNA from 1 species